rnacentral:lncRNA from 1 species
UGGAAUUGUAAGAAAAAAGGGUAUUCUUUGUUUUCUUAGGGAUAAUGUGAAUAAGAGCUGUAAGAUGCCUUAGGGAUAAUGCUAAACCUACCAUGGAAAGUGGAACCACAAGACCAGGCCUACUCUGUUACACUUGAUGCCUUUAGGUCUUUUUUCUUUUCCAUUCCAAUGUUUAUAAAAGAAAAACCGAAACUAAUGUUAGGAUUAUGAUAAGGAUUAUAGGUAACCAACUUCGAAGAAUAUGCCUAAAAAAAGUCUGAAUUUUGAAGGUUUCGAAAGCUAUUUAAACUAAGCUUUAACUGCACCUAUUAGAUGAACAGAUUCCUCUGCUCUUUCUGGUUCAUCUUAAUAUAAAGACCUGCUUCAACAAUUCUAUACAAUUUUGCUUGUUGGGGGAUGUCCUUUUCUAUGGAAGUACAUCAAAUUGUGAG